rnacentral:rRNA from 1 species
AUUCCAGCUCCAAUAGCGUAUAUUAAAGUUGUUGCAGUUAAAAAGCUCGUAGUUGGAUUUCUGGUGCAUUCCACUGGCCUAUUGGUUAACUCCAACUUGGCUCAUUUGGAAUACGCCAUCUUUAGGCAGACCCGUCGUGGCAUUAGGUUGUCGUGAUGGUUACGCCUAUCGUUUACUGUGAAGAAAUUAGGGUGUUCAAAGCAGGCUUAUGCCAUGAAUACGUUAGCAUGGAAUAAUGAGAUAGGAUUUCGGUACUAUUUUGUUGGUUUGUGUACGGAAAUAAUGAUUAACAGGAACAGUGUUGUGGGUAUUCGUAUCUCGUUGUCAGAGGUGAAAUUCUUGGAUUUACGAAAGACGAACGACUGCGAAAGCAUUUACCAAGGAUGUUUUCAUUA